GUGAGACCAUUCCUGGUGUGUCUGUGCCUUCUCAACUUAAAUAGGUCUUUGAAUUCAUGUAGUGACUGUGCCUUCAGGUUGUGUGUGUUCCUUACAGCAGGACUGAGGGAUCUGCUGGCCAGCUCUUCUUCUGUUUCCAAACAUCUCAGGAAAUGUAGAUAAUUUUUCAAGCCCACGCUCUGGCUUAGAUGAAAUUGUUUUAAAAUAAAAAACAAACACUGGGGGAUGAUCAAUUCUUGAUGCUUCAGGGUUGCUUCAGGUGGAGUUGUGCUGCAGUGCCUCUGGGAGGGGAAAGGAGAGGUGGGAGGGAUGUUGCUGUGGGGAUUUUGGUAUUUGGAUCUCGUUUCAUUCAUUCAGGUGCCCUUGUCUGUGUGGUCUUGAACACCUGAGGUCCUGCAGUCAGCUGAGUCUGUGCCAGCAGAGCAUCUCUGUGCCUUUGCCAUGGCAGGUGUUGGCCACCCUGAACAACCACUAGCGUGCGUGUGUCUAACCACAACCACAUCCCAGGGGAGCGAGCUUCUCCUGUGCUUCCUCAGGGAAAGAUAUGCCUUAACUCAGCAGCCAAAUUCCUUCUGCAGUUGUACUCUUAAUGCUCUUGGGAGGGAUGAAAGUGGAAGUGCUGUGCCUGAUGCCAGGGCCCACAAAGCUUCACUUUUGAUCCCUGCUGCUGCUGGUGGCACCUCCUCCCCAUGUGUGUCCUGCUUUGCUGGGAGAGCGAAGGAAUUGUCCUUGGGAAGCUGUGAGACUGUGUUACCUCUG